rnacentral:lncRNA from 1 species
CGGCUUGAUUACGGAGUUCGACGACUACCGGAGGUAAGGAAGAAGGAAGACGAAGGCGAGGGGCUUCGGUGAUGGAUCAAUCGAGAGGGAGAUGGGUUUUAAAUAAAGAAAAAGGGAAGAGGAUAAACUCGAGGUCCUCGGAUAAAGCCGGAUUUCACCGGCGUAUCCCGACCAAACAGCCUUCGGCUAUUGCUCACCGGCGUACGGCACUCCUCCGGCUCCCGCGCGGCCUUAUCCUCCUUCGUGGCAUA